rnacentral:rRNA from 1 species
GACGAACGCUGGCGGCGUGCUUAACACAUGCAAGUCGAACGGAAAGGCCCUGCUUUUGUGGGGUGCUCGAGUGGCGAACGGGUGAGUAACACGUGAGUAACCUGCCCUUGUCUUUGGGAUAACUUCAGGAAACUGGGGCUAAUACCGGAUAGGAGCUCCUGCUGCAUGGUGGGGGUUGAAAGUUUCGGCGGUUGGGGAUGGACUCGCGGCUUAUCAGUUUGUUGGUGGGGUAGUGGCUUACCAAGGCUUUGACGGGUAGCCGGCCUGAGAGGGUGACCGGCCACAUUGGGACUGGGAUACGGCCCAGACUCCAACGGGAGGCAGCAGUGGGGAGUAUUGCACAAUGGGCGGAAGCCUGAUGCAGCAACGCCGCGUGCGGGAUGACGGCCUUCGGGUUGUAAACCGCUUUCGCCUGUGACGAGGCGUGAGUGACGGUACUUGGUAAAGAAGCACCGGCUAACUACGUG